rnacentral:rRNA from 1 species
AUGGCAGGAUCACCGGAGGAGGAAAGAACAGCUCCGGAGGCCAGCAGGAGGAGCAACGCCGGCAGCAGUAGCUGUAGUAGCUCCAGCAGCAGCAGCAGCAGCGACGAUGACGUGCCGGUAGAGCACAUCGCAGUAACCGUCGGCGGGCCGGACGGAAGGGACCCUACUGAAGAGCCCGCUGCCGUCGACGGCGCCACCGGCGGCGUCGUGAACGCGCGAGGACAGCAAUGUGACCAAAAGGUGGCUGCAGGGAGGCUCAAGCUCAACGUCAGGAGGAGCGAUCUCGUGUUGACGCUGAUGGUUGCAGGAGGGGUUGCGGUCGCCGUUGCAGCAGCUUUCCUCGCCAGCAAAAAGCGUUGA